CCUACGGGAGGCAGCAGUGGGGAAUAUUGGACAAUGGGCGAAAGCCUGAUCCAGCCAUGCCGCGUGUGUGAAGAAGGCCUUCGGGUUGUAAAGCACUUUCAGUGGGGAAGAAAGCCUUGGGGCUAAUACCCUCGAGGAAGGACAUCACCCACAGAAGAAGCACCGGCUAACUCCGUGCCAGCAGCCGCGGUAAUACGGAGGGUGCGAGCGUUAAUCGGAAUUACUGGGCGGAAAGCGCGCGUAGGCGGUCUGAUAAGCCGGUUGUGAAAGCCCCGGGCUCAAACUGGGAACGGCAUCCGGAACUGUCAGGCUAGAGUGCAGGAGAGGAAGGUAGAAUUCCCGGUGUAGCGGUGAAAUGCGUAGAGAUCGGGAGGAAUACCAGUGGCGAAGGCGGCCUUCUGGACUGACACUGACGCUGAGGUGCGAAAGCGUGGGUAGCAAACAGGAUUAGAUACCCGGGUAGUC
rnacentral:rRNA from 1 species